UUCCGCGCUUUUCCCGCCGGCAGCGGGGG
rnacentral:sRNA from 1 species